CGUGCGCACGCGCCGAAUCCCGCAAGGGAACCGGGGAACCAACAAUUGGGGUGAAUCGGGAGUUUCUUGCUGCCGCAAAGCAGCGAGUCACACCCGUAGGAGACCUUCCUGCUCCGAACCCGUCAGCUAACCCGGUAGGCGAGAAGGAAGGAAAGG
rnacentral:sRNA from 2 species